GGCCACACCUCCUCCAGCAAGUCCACACUUCCAAAUCCUUUCAAAUGGUGUUGAUCCCUGAUCCCUAAGCGUUAGAAUAUAUGAGCCUACAGAGCAAUUCUUACACAAACCACCAAAGACAGCUUGGCCUAUAGUGGGGUUUUCUAAGUGUCUGUCCCAAUGGGAGUAGCUAAGUACCAUUUCUGCAAAACAUAAAGUAAGUACCUUUGUUGUUGUUGUUGUUUUUCCUUCACAGGACAAGGUUUUUGACACAUUAUACAUGCCUAUGUAGUUCAAAGUUCUUUGGACUGUGUUGCAACCUCCCGUGAGCCUCUGCGAGGAGGUUACUUCCUAAAGCAGUCUGAAGACAACAACUGAACGUUGACUUCUUUUGGUUUUCUUUUCCCAGUGUACUCUCACAUAAAUUGCUGGGGUUCCAGACGCCAUGAUGCAUUUACGGUAUCUUCAGAGUCCAGAAGAGAGGGAUUCAGGUUUCCUGGAGCUGCAGCUAAAGGUGGGAGCUGAGCUCGGGACCUCUGCGAUAGCAGUCUGUGCUCUUCACUGCUGAGCCAUCGCCUCUCCAGCCUCACAACAUGAGCACACUCAAUCCACUUCAUGUUGCUCAUGUGGACAUGGGUAUCCAGCCAUCCCCUGAGGUUUGGGCAGCCUACUGGUCGACACCCACAGAGAAGAGCGACUCUCACCUGACAGUCAUUAAGGCCAAUAUCUUCUCAGAGGUGGAACCUUGGGAGCUCUUCCCCACUCCAUGCUGAAUUUGAACAGGCUUGAUCUUGUGCAGCUCUUAUAUAAUUUCUGCUCGGUCUUCUGCAAUGGCUCCUGCGUGUUGGGUGGUGAGCAGCUAUCUGGACGAUCCAUCCAAAGCUGAGCACUUACACUCACUCCUACUUGGCAUGGAGACCUAAGUCAACUGCUACCCACUGUAUGAAGACGUUUCCCUGGCAAAGGGUGAGAGCAGCACACAUCUGUGGAUGUAGACAUACAUAGUUAGAAGGCAGUUUGAUAAUAUGACCAUUAGCAAACAUAAUCAAAGGGUUCUUCCCUUGGGCCUUUGACUUCCCCAGCCUUGGGUUUUGACUGGGUUUUCAGAACAAGGCAUGAAUCCCUCCUGUAGAACAGGCCUACAUCCAACCUAGAAAACAGCUGGUUACCUCCAUAAACUGUCUUGCCACGAUUGCAACAGUCAGAAGGUCAGUAUUGUAGCAUACUAGUCCUAUCUUUUCUCCUCCAGCAUCCUGCAAAGCCCCUUCUAGCACUAUUAAAGCUAGUCAGUAGGGCAAGAGUUCCCCAGACAAUUCAAGGUCAAUUUCUUUCAUCUUGCAACCAGUGUUUUCCAUAAUAGGUUUUACCAUCUAGUUAUGGGGGGCAACCAAGAGCAGUGGCAAUAACCUGGGUUGUUUGGGAUACCUCUGGGCUUCUCUGAUCUCUAAAUUCCUAGGGACCAGUGCCCGGCACUGAGAUUUUCAUUUAACAACUUAUGUCUUCUGGCAGUAACAACGUGUCCCCGACCUAAAGGUUUGGAGAACAGCCUGGCCACUAAACUGAUAUCUCUCUGCUUCUGUAAACUCUUGUUUACUACAGAUGUCCAGAGCUGCUUUUCAGCACACAUCACAGUUGCAGUUUUUGCCUUUAAAAACUUGAUAAAAUGGAGGUCAAGGCUGCUUCCUGCUACUAUGCCUGAGACAACCCACUGGAGUCAGGCAUGGGAAAUCAAACUUCAACAACACUGUCUCCUGAGACUCAGGUAAGUGUCACCAGAGCUGCCUGCUCUGUCUCUGUUGGCUCCUGGAGCCUAUUACAGUUACAAAAGCUGUACCAGUGUGUCAGACUGCUUCUCCCACCCCUCCUGGGCUGCUAAGCCCUGUCUUCCAGCUCCCUCCUGGAUCUUGUUCCGUCUCUCUUGCCCCAUUGCUCUUCUUUGCUUUGGGCUGCUGCCUCACUAGCUCGAUCUGUCUCUCACCUCCCACCUGGAGCUUCUUCUGUCUCUAGCCAUGGCAAACAACUUGUUUCUUCUUUUCUCCCUUUCUCAUUGCCAGACUGGAGUCUGCUGUUUCACAGGUUCAUCGGGCAUUUCUCUAUGCCUUCCUGGGCCUCUAAUAUACCGUAGUUCUCCAUCUGUCAAAGCCCCUGUUUAAAAUCCUUUCCUCUAAGUUUCUCCCAUCUCUUCUGCUUCUGAAGGAAGUCUUCUUGCCAGCCAUCUCUCAGGUGACUCCUGUCUCUAAGCACUGGGCUCUCAGGCUGCCUCUGCCCGACCCCAGCCAGUGUAGGGUGGUGCUGGCAAUCAUAGUAGGCAGAUCCAUGGCGACCAUAAGUACCUCCACCUGCUUUGUUUUGCCACCUGCUGCCUGUUGUGCUAUGGGAGCUCGCCUGUCCUCAGGGCUCUUAGCUAGAGGGGCACUAGAUUUCCAAAUUCUCACAGGUUGUUCCUCUGCCAUGGCACAAACAAAUGUCCCCAAAUCUCUUAUCUUCAAGCCUUCUUUGCUCUCUGCUCUGAGCCUCCUCUGUUCUCUGCUUGCUCUGGCCUCACCCUCUGGCCACUGGAUUCAGUUUUGCAGGGAUUCAGGUGUCUUUGAGGUCCGGAUAAAAUUAAGAUACUGUUUUGUGUUGUUCUACUCUAUAAAAACGCUGGAUCUGAAAUUGUGCUAUGGCCUUCUUUUUUUCUGCACCCCUCCCCCCAAGCAUGCUUGUUUAAGUCUCCUUCGGGGUUGGGGCUGGUGAGAACAAAGAUGAUGGUGGCCAUUGGCACCUGCCUCAGAGCUCUGAGGAUUCUGAGAGACCCAUGGAAUAUGCAGAGCUCACAGCAACUCUGGAACAACAAUGACAACACCAACAGCAACAACAGCAGCAACAACAGCAACAGCAAUAACAGGCAAGUUGAGAGAUAGGGUUUUAAAUUAGCUCAAAACUCAGCAACAGGAUCUGACUCAGGAAGACAGAUUGUUAAAAAUGCAGGAGAACUGGUAUAGACUCACUGACACUUUGCUUAUCACCGGACCUGAGUAAAUGAGUAAUGGAUUCUGUUCUGCCCCUGUGAUGUUUGUUCAAGCCCCCAUUGUGCCCUCCAGCCAUUUUGUCCUGCAGAAAGUAUUCCAGGAAACGGGCCAAGCCUAACCAGAUGUGUUUCAGACGCAGAUGCCUCAUCA
rnacentral:sRNA from 1 species